rnacentral:lncRNA from 1 species
AGCGAGCAUGCCCAGGGAUAUCAAUCUCAGCCAAGACGUUCACACCUCGUUUUUCAGCAUAUCUGUAAAUUGUUGAUAAACCAUCUUACGAGGUAAGUCUACAAGCAUAGAUGAAUUAUAUCUACUCGUGAGCACAUCAAUGUCAGGGGAAGAUGGUUGGAACUUCGAAAACUAUUGCUUAAUUUGCGAGGCCCUAAGUGGAAGCCAUUUUGCAUAGUUUUGCUAACCUUCUCUUAGCUCUUGGAAGUCUAGGUAAUAACUGAUGGGAAAUAGAUCCAAUAUGACGAUAAGAGAAACUUACUGUACAAUGUCAAGUGCAUCACUGAUUGUAUAUUUCUCUGAAUAGGAGUAUGCACCAUUUGAUAGUUCUGGGUAUGAAUGUAUUUCAAUAGGAAAUGAUUGCUCAUCCACGAUAUGCCAAUGAAGCACAUUCUGCAUGGUGAAAGAGUAAACAUAACAUAAGAUGCAAAUAAAACUAAAUUAAGGGGGAAUGUAUCAGGUGAAAACCUCUAUUCAGUGAAAACCUGAAAACUUUCAACCCUAACCGCUAAAUCUUAGAUAAAUGGAUGAGAUGAAAGGUAAUAAAAAAAACAUCUGAAAGUUUUCAUCUCAUCCGUUUAUUUGAGAUCUAAUGGAUUGAACUGAAAGUUUUCAAGUUUUCAUUGAAUAAAGGUUUUCACCUGAUACAUCGCGAACUUAAGGAGCAUACAUAUAAGAGACCAAUGAAAAACAGAACUUGUUUGAGGGUGAAAGGUCAAACGUACCAACUUACUGUAGGUCAUUGAAUCAAUUACACUUUUGAUUACUGGGACAGGAAGAUAAUGCCUUGCAGUAUCUGCAGCAUACAGUGCACAAUUUAAUAUCAAGAACUUUCAUCAAAUAGUGCAAAGAUGAUAAGUAACUGUGCCUGUAUGCGUUCCCAAUCUUUACAUGAGACUUAAGGUUAUGAAGCAUAUCAAACUCAAACAUAGGAAGUGUAAACUGUAAAGCAUGUGUAACCAAUCUCAGUAUUGCUUGUAACGAUGGUUGUCAAUAAAAUGAAAUAUAGACUGACAAUUGUUCAGAAAUGGAAAUAGAUGAGCAGAAAUGAUAUGUAAUUCAUAGUUAUGUGUAAUAUCAAGAGGUGAAAAUCAAGACUUAUGAUAUAGCUGGUUAUUAUUGUGUGGUGUUUGUCUAAUUUUACUAUGUACUAAUCUUUCACAGUUGGCCUUAUUAUACUGUUUAUGCCGUAGCAAUUUGGUGGCCAUUCUAUAUAAGUGACCUGUCAUAAUGCCAUGCAUGUUUUAGCCUUACUUAUUUCUCAGGGACAAUAUGUGGGUAAUUUAUAUAAGAACAGAGAAACAAUUUUGAACUAAUGGAAGUGGAGCUAGAUUGACAAUAUAGGUACUUUGUAUAAGAACUUCGAGGAACCCAUUCGUGAGCUUUAUUACUCUGAAUAGUGACGACAAUUACGGUUAUAAAUGAAGAGAAAAUUCAGACUGUAUCUUACCAAUAAGAAGCCCUCGAUAAGGAAAUCUUGGCAUGUCCAUGAUAGUCCAAGGAGCCGAAUCAAGUCGAGUUAUGCUCAAAACAAAAUCAAAGUAACACAAUUGGCUAAUUGUCUGCAACAAUACAAACUUACUGUCACGUUGUCUGGAAAUAUUAUUGUCGCUGAACUUUAUCUAUGGUCCUGCAUAAUAUCACUUGAAGUGGAUAAAUCAUGUGAAGUUACCUCCAAAGCAUGAAGCGCCCCAAAAACUGUUUGUGCCUGCAAAAUGUAGUGAAGUGAAAUCAACUGUGUGUCACAAUGUGUACAACGGAUAAGGUUGCCUACACCGUGCGACAAGGGUGAACACUUAUUGUUGCCAAACCUUGUUCUUCAGACACGUGGUACAAAAAUAAUUUCACUGCUAAUUGUUAUUUUCCAAGUGAGUACGCUGUUGUAUGGACAUGACACGGUAGUUAUUCUUCAAAAAUUCCAUGCCUAAAUCCUUGUUUGUAUAUCAGGGAUGGUGGAGUACUAUGUUAACCAGCAUUCUGUGGAUAGAUCAUCAAGAGGACUUGGUGCAGCCUAUACAGAGUAACUGUGCGGGCAGAACAUCUAAAAGAAGGUAUCACUACAGUACAAUAGCAUCCACGGCAUGCCAUCUGCCAGAUUUACUAUUUCAUUGAACUGGUUGAUUUCUUUAAUGAAAUCGGGUGCUGAGCUCCUUUAUUCUAAAAUAAAAUAAAAUAAAAUUACUAGAUCAUUCCAACAUAGGUGUUGCCAAUACAGCAUAAAAGACAUACAUAAGAGCACUUAAUAUUCUGUUAUGUAUUGAAUAUAACGGUACAUUCUUCUAAUUAAAAUGAAAGGAAAGCAAGUGACUGCUUUGCAAGAUGGGGUUUAGCACAUUGUCAAAUUUUGCAAGGCAAUUUAUAUGUCAACCAUCCGGAUAGUAUAACUAAAUUUGUUUGUGGCACAUCCAGUUUCUUUCUUUGGUUUUCUGUAAAAUAGGAUUUUAUUCUGUUUCGUGCAAGCACAAGCAAAAACAUCUGCAGUCAAGAGUUUACCGACCUCAAUUUGGGCAUACAUCGGGCUGCCAGUUGCAGGAAUUGACAGGUUGUAUGAUUCAUCCACCCCGAAUUUGAGCUGCAGUAAGAUCAAUGAGGAAAACACACAACACACCAAAAAGAAGAAGCGUCAGAAGCAACCCUGCAGCUCAUCAAGCAUACCUCGUCAUCCGGGGAAUGGACAACUACAUUAACACCGGUGAGCACAGGAAGCCUGUCGUAACUGCCAACGAUAGCAUGGUCCAUCUGGAUGACUGACACUAUCCUCUGGAAGGCUUCUACCAGGAUAGUCUUCCCGUCGGCGUACUUGCUCCCGACCGCCGACAUCUUGAGGUCCUUGGCGACGUAGAGUGCCUUGUCCCCACUGCUGACCGACGCCGGCAUUGGCCACAGAUCGACGCGCCCACCGCCAGCAGCGGUG